AUUAGGAAUCAUGCGCAAUGGACGAAAGUCUGACGCUGCGACGCCGCGUGAAGGAUGACGGCCUUCGGGUUGUAAACUUCUUUUAUAGUUGAACAAGUUCUGAGUGUAAACUAUGAAUAAGGUGCUUCUAACUACGUGCCAGAAGAAUCGGUGAUACGUAGGCACCAAGCGCUAUCCGGAAUUACUGGGCGUAAAGAGAUGCGUAGGCGUCCUAGUAAGUCUUAUGUAAAAUCCUGUAGCUCAACUACAGGUCUGCGUGAGAAACUACAAGGAUUGAGAAAUUCAGAGGAAAGGGGAAUUCCUGGUGGAGCGGUGAAAUGUGUUGAUAUCAGGAGGAACACCAAUUGCGAAGGCACCUUUCUAGGGAUUUUCUGACGCUAAGGCUCGAAAGCUAGGGUAGCAAAACGGAUUAGAUACCCCGGUAGUCC
rnacentral:rRNA from 1 species